AACAAACCAGGCAAGAUUCUGGGACUGAGAGUAGAAAAUAAGCUCAAGAACUAAGGUAAAAGUCUUCUACUGACUGCCUCCUUGAAAAAGCCAAGUUACAGCUAUUUUCAAGUUCAGUGGUCAAAAACUUUUGAAGUAAACCCAGGGAAAAUACUCUGAUUGAUCUUGGCAUUUUCCGGCAGAUCCACUUUCUGGGUCCCACCUGGUUCUAUAUCAUUAUUAUCUGGCUGACUUUUCAUCCUCACCAGACUGUGAGCAAGUCAAAGAAGAAGACCAAGCCCUGAGCUUGAACUGUGUGGUUGAGAAGAAAGAAGCGGCAUUCCCCCUCUGUUGUCAAGACGUCUAAAGUGAGAAGAUUUUCAGAGGCUCGUUCCAGCAUGUAAAAGAGAGAGACGACUGUCCAAUGAGCCUCGUCUUCUUGUGAACAUGGAUAUGGAUCCUUGCCUCAAAUAGCACCAAAGUUUAUGUGACCAUUCCAUAUGAAGAAAGACCCUCUGGAUGACUGACCGCCUAAGAGCAGAAGGACUUGGGGAAGGAGCUUAUGUUUCAGAAUGAAGAGCCCUAAAGUAAGUAGCAGCAGUUAAGAGUUACAUGUAGAUGUGAAGAAUUCUAAAAGUGAAAGGAAAACUGCAAAUUAAGGAACAUGAAAGGAAAACAGAAAAGCAAACUUAACUUAGUUACAUGCCAAAGGAGUUCUUUUUUUUUUUUUUUUUUAGUAACCCUUCCUCACCCACCAUGAUAAAAAUAGUUGCUCCCAAUUUGAGACACAUCCAUGUGACUGGCUCAGGGAUGCUCCGGACUACUGUGUGAGCAGGACUGUAGGGGUCUGAGCACUUUACUUUCUGUGCUAAA